rnacentral:lncRNA from 1 species
CUGCAAAAAUGGAGGGCAGAGCCUCAGGAAAGAAAUAUAUUUGUGAAUUUGAGUUGGGAUUUACAUAAUUUCACUCCUCAUUUUAUUUUGAAUUUAAUUACUUUCAAAACCGCUAAAAAGGUAUAAACACACACAUGCAUGCACAAAUGUGAUGGAGCAAUGCAGUUACUCAUGCUGUUGUUGACAGCUAGCGGGGCUUGUAUUUCUUCCCGGUAAACAAUUUCCCUUUUGCAGUACACUGUGGUCUGUCCUCCCCAGUCCCUUCCUGAUUGUUAAAUAGGAACUUACUGGAGAGACACUGGGAAGUUUGCAGGUUUAUUUGGAGGCCAUUUAGACUAGACUGCUUUGGUGCUUCAUUAAUUUUGAGUCCUCUUUAAAUCAGAUUUGAAGUUUAUAGUUCUAAGCUUCUGAGAUUAUUUUUUUCCCAUACUCUUGUGAGUAUUAGGAAGUUGGCAGAAAGUACAGAUAAUAUAAGUCAUUCACUCAAAGGUAUGCAGAAAACACAUGGAGCUUAAAGUCUUGUCUUCUGUUCCUAAUUCAAUAUUCUUUCCACCCAAAUCUUCCCACGUCUAUGCUAUGUUCGUACUGUCUUCUCCUGACAUUUAACUUCCCAAGCUUCCUUUAGUAAUUGGACCAAGGAAAUGAUUUUGGGGUC